AGAGGGUGGCGGGGGUUUUUCAAUCGCCAGAAGAGCCCCUCGUGCUCCACCAGGGCUUAAGUGAUGACACAGAAUGAUUAUAGCACAGUUAAAUACCUGGCCUAAUGAGCCAUUUAGCCCUAUUGACAUCCGUGGCUGUCUCAGAGGUGGAGCGAGUACCACGUACAUGCUCCUUAAUCAGAACCGAUAACACCAUUUAGCCUUCAAACGCUAAUCCUGACUCCCGGGCUCUCUCUGGAAUCCACUGUGAUUUCUCUGUACUCACGCUGAGAAACUUCAUGCCUGAUUCAUUUUCAAUUCCACUCUUCCUGCACAGUUGUAACUUCGCUGUGGUUUUACAAGCAUUAUGACUGGGGAGUGAGAGAAAAGAAGAACGACUGAGGUGAAACUUUGCUGCCAAUCUGCUCGUCUUCACUUCUGAAUGACGAAAAUCAAGGCCUCAGACGGUCACUCGACACAGUCGCAGGAGCAGGAAGCGCAACACGUGAGCCUCGCUGCUCUCUGAUCUAACACGCUCGCUGUCUCGUCUCCAGCUGUGCAACGGGUUGUAGCAGCGGCACCAGCGAGCUCAGGCACAGAAACCUUUGUUUGGUUUACGAGCACCACCUACGAAGACUUGGAUGUCAUCGACAAAAAAAAAAGAAAAGAAAAAGACGUAAAAAGUGUUGGAGUCAAUGGCUUGAGUGACAAGUGAUUGCUGAAUCAAGAAACCAAAGAAAAAAAAAACAACAACAAAGUAAGCGCCUCACAGAUUAACACACGACUUGAAA